AAAAGUUGAAUUGCUUUCUUUAGGAGGGGCUCUAUAUGAAGCUCUUUUAUGCUUCUAGACCAAAGUACAAAAUGAAGAGAUCCAAAUUAAUGCGUACCUAUUGACUUUCUUUAGGCGAGUCAUGACAGGAUCAAGAUUAUUCAUAUCCAGUAAGGCUGUGAAUUCUCAUGGAGCUUUUAUAUUUAUGUUUGUUUCAUCACUUGGAAUGUGAGGCAAUUUAGAGGAAAACACGUUUAAGAAAGAUUUUCCCCCGUAGAUUUCAGAUGAGUCCUUUUUUCUGGAUAAGAAAGCUAUACUGCAGGGAUAAAAAAAAUUAUGAAGUCUGGUUAUCUUUUCAUCUUUACUGAAUGAAGUGGUAACUUCUCUCUUUUUGUAAGUCCUUUUUUUGCUUAUCAGGAGGUGUCUUGAUUUUUUUUUUUUUUUAAAUUUGGGUUUUUCACCCGGUAUCCGGUACCCGCAUUAGAGCCCAACUAUAUCCAGAUUCGCGCCGCGUAGAGCUCAAUUUGGGGGAAAGCGCUCUCUACCAAGGAUUUUUUCAUACCCAGGACUCGAACCCGAGACCUCUGGUUAAGGGAGGAUGCAGCUCCAUCCGCUGCACCACAUCCUUUGGUGAUAGGAGGUGUCUUGAUUAUUGCUCUUCCAUGGUUGUAGUUAAUGAGUUCACAAGAUAUGGGACUAUGGGAACCCUUCUUGUACACCAAGCAAAAGGGAAAAUCAGGGAUGUCGUGUUUGUUGAGCUGCAAAGGUGAGUUUGUUUAUAUGUCUAUUUCCGGUUUAUGUUUUAUAUUUUAACGUGCUAAUACAUGAGCACAUUUUGUUGAUUUGUAGUGAAUAUUAAGCAUUAAACUCUCUUCUGAUGAGAAAAAAUUGUACUUUGUGACCCGAUAAAUGUUGUUGCUCUGGAGGGCAAAUUAUUGUUGCAUUACUUUUUGGCCCUUCUGUGAGUUACAUGAAGGAAACUUCAUCCAAAGUGCAGUUGUAUCAAAGAUACAAAUUUUGUUGAAAUCUCUUUUCUAAGUUAUUGUCAUUGUAUUUAUCUUUAUUAUUUGUUGCAUUUAAGGUAUUCUUUAGCUAAGAUAUAUGUUAAGGAGAUGAUAUAAAAAGGCAUGUGAAUCGUUAGGAAGAAUCUACCAUACAGAGUUGGAGUUUUGUGAACAAAGUCUUGUGAGGUUAAUAGAGUUA